GAGUGGCGCACGGGUGAGUAACGCGUAUGCAACCUGCCUGUAACAGAGGGAUAGCCCAUAGAAAUGUGGAUUAAUACCUCAUAGUCCUGGAUGGUCGCAUGGCCGUUCAGGUAAAACUCCGGUGGUUACAGAUGGGCAUGCGUGACAUUAGCUAGUUGGUAAGGUAACGGCUUACCAAGGCAACGAUGUCUAGGGGUUCUGAGAGGAUGAUCCCCCACACUGGUACUGAGACACGGACCAGACUCCUACGGGAGGCAGCAGUGAGGAAUAUUGGUCAAGUGGGCGCAAGCCUGAACCAGCCAUCCCGCGUGAAGGAUGAAGGUCCUAUGGAUUGUAAACUUCUUUUAUACAGGAAGAAAAAUCUCUACGUGUAGAGACUUGCCGGUACUGUAUGAAUAAGCAUCGGCUAACUCCGUGCCAGCAGCCGCGGUAAUACGGAGGAUGCAAGCGUUAUCCGGAUUCAUUGGGUUUAAAGGGUGCGUAGGCGGCUCUUUAAGUCAGUGGUGAAAUCCUGCCGCUUAACGGUAGAAUUGCCAUUGAUACUGAAGAGCUUGAGUACAAUUGAGGUAAGCGGAAUGUGUAGUGUAGCGGUGAAAUGCUUAGAUAUUACACAGAACACCAAUUGCGAAGGCAGCUUACUAAACUGCAACUGACGCUGAUGCACGAAAGCGUGGGGAGCGAACAGGAUUAGAUACCCUGGUAGUCCACGUUGUAAACGAUGAUCACUCGCUGUAUGCGAUACACAGUAUGCGGCCAAGCGAAAGCAUUAAGUGAUCCACCUGGGGAGUACGAUCGCAAGGUUGAAACUCAAAGGAAUUGACGGGGGCCCGCACAAGCGGAGGAACAUGUGGUUUAAUUCGAUGAUACGCGAGGAACCUUACCCGGGCUCGAACGGCUUUAGAAUAUAUCAGAGAUGGUAUAGCCAGCAAUGGCUGAAGUCGAGGUGCUGCAUGGUUGUCGUCAGCUCGUGCCGUGAGGUGUCGGCUUAAGUGCCAUAACGAGCGCAACCCUUGUCGUUAGUUACCAUCAGGUCAUGCUGGGGACUCUAACGAGACUGCCACCGUAAGGUGUGAGGAAGGGGGGGAUGACGUCAAAUCAGCACGGCCCUUACGUCCGGGGCGACACACGUGUUACAAUGGUAGGUACAGAGGGCAGCUACCCAGUGAUGGGAUGCGAAUCUCUAAAGCCUAUCUCAGUUCGGAUUGGAGUCUGCAACUCGACUCCAUGAAGUUGGAUUCGCUAGUAAUCGCGCAUCAGCCAUGGCGCGGUGAAUACGUUCCCGGGCCUUGUACACACCGCCCGUCAAGCCAUGGAAGCUGGGGGUGCCUGAAGUUCGUGACCGCAAGGAGCGACCUAGGGCAAAACUAGUAACUGGGGCUAAGUCGUAACAAGGUAGCC
rnacentral:rRNA from 1 species